CUACGUGCCAGCAGCCGCGGUAAUACGGAGGGUGCGAGCGUUAAUCGGAAUAACUGGGCGUAAAGGGCACGCAGGCGGUGACUUAAGUGAGGUGUGAAAGCCCCGGGCUUAACCUGGGAAUUGCAUUUCAUACUGGGUCGCUAGAGUACUUUAGGGAGGGGUAGAAUUCCACGUGUAGCGGUGAAAUGCGUAGAGAUGUGGAGGAAUACCGAUGGCGAAGGCAGCCUCCUGGGAUAACACUGACGUUCAUACUCGAAAGCGUGGGUAGCAAACAGGAUUAGAUACCCUGGUAGUCCACGCCCUAAACGAUGUCGAUUAGCUGUUGGGCAACUUGAUUGCUUAGUAGCGUAGCUAACGCGUGAAAUCGACCGCCUGGGGAGUACGGUCGCAAGAUUAAAACUCAAAGGAAUUGACGGGGACCCGCACAAGCGGUGGAUGAUGUGGAUUAAUUCGAUGCAACGCGAAGAACCUUACCUGGUCUUGACAU
rnacentral:rRNA from 1 species